UGGGGAAUAUUGGACAAUGUGCGCAAGCCUGAUCCAGCCAUGCCGCGUGAGUGAAGAAGGCCUUCGGGUUGUAAAGCUCUUUUGUCCGGAAAGAAAAGCUUCCGAUUAAUACUCGGGAGUCAUGACGGUACCGGAAGAAUAAGCACCGGCUAACUUCGUGCCAGCAGCCGCGGUAAUACGAAGGGUGCAAGCGUUACUCGGAAUUACUGGGCGUAAAGCGUGCGUAGGUGGUUCGUUAAGUCUGAUGUGAAAGCCCUGGGCUCAACCUGGGAAUGGCAUUGGAUACUGGCGGACUGGAGUGCGGUAGAGGAUGGCGGAAUUCCCGGUGUAGCAGUGAAAUGCGUAGAGAUCGGGAGGAACAUCUGUGGCGAAGGCGGCCAUCUGGACCAGCACUGACACUGAGGCACGAAAGCGUGGGGAGCAAACA
rnacentral:rRNA from 1 species